rnacentral:lncRNA from 1 species
GGUCUGUUAAAUUUUGUAUUAUAGAUUAAAAAUUUAUGUUUAUCCUCGUUUUUACCUUUAUGAGAAUGACUGUGUGUGGAUCGAAUCAGUUAAUCAAAUUAUUUACCUUUGUUUCACUUUCAAUGUUGACACUCUUUUCCUUUAAAUACGCGUACACGGACAAUGCAUGCGUUAUUCUAUCUCUUUCUACGUGGUUAAAUUGGAGUUCACAUGAAUACGGAUUUAAUGAGGUCGAAUUAUUCACUUGCAAGUGAAUAAUUCAUUAUCAAUGUUUAUGAGCUUAAUUUGACAAAAUUGAACUAUUUUAGCUGAUAAAAGCAAAUUAUUAUUUCACUAUUUC